rnacentral:rRNA from 1 species
AUGAACGCUAGCGACAGGCUUAACACAUGCAAGUCGAGGGGCAGCACAGGUAGCAAUACCGGGUGGCGACCGGCGCACGGGUGAGUAACGCGUAUGCAACUUGCCUAUCAGAGGGGGAUAACCCGGCGAAAGUCGGACUAAUACCGCAUGAAGCAGGGAUCCCGCAUGGGAAUAUUUGCUAAAGAUUCAUCGCUGAUAGAUAGGCAUGCGUUCCAUUAGGCAGUUGGCGGGGUAACGGCCCACCAAACCGACGAUGGAUAGGGGUUCUGAGAGGAAGGUCCCCCACAUUGGUACUGAGACACGGACCAAACUCCUACGGGAGGCAGCAGUGAGGAAUAUUGGUCAAUGGCCGAGAGGCUGAACCAGCCAAGUCGCGUGAGGGAUGAAGGUUCUAUGGAUCGUAAACCUCUUUUAUAAGGGAAUAAAGUGCGGGACGUGUCCCGUUUUGUAUGUACCUUAUGAAUAAGGAUCGGCUAACUCCGUGCCAGCAGCCGCGGUAAUACGGAGGAUCCGAGCGUUAUCCGGAUUUAUUGGGUUUAAAGGGUGCGUAGGCGGCCUUUUAAGUCAGCGGUGAAAGUCUGUGGCUCAACCAUAGAAUUGCCGUUGAAACUGGGGGGCUUGAGUAUGUUUGAGGCAGGCGGAAUGCGUGGUGUAGCGGUGAAAUGCUUAGAUAUCACGCAGAACCCCGAUUGCGAAGGCAGCCUGCCAAGCCAUGACUGACGCUGAUGCACGAAAGCGUGGGGAUCAAACAGGAUUAGAUACCCUGGUAGUCCACGCAGUAAACGAUGAUCACUAGCUGUUUGCGAUACACUGUAAGCGGCACAGCGAAAGCGUUAAGUGAUCCACCUGGGGAGUACGCCGGCAACGGUGAAACUCAAAGGAAUUGACGGGGGCCCGCACAAGCGGAGGAACAUGUGGUUUAAUUCGAUGAUACGCGAGGAACCUUACCCGGGUUUGAACGCAUUCGGACCGAGGUGGAAACACCUUUUCUAGCAAUAGCCGUUUGCGAGGUGCUGCAUGGUUGUCGUCAGCUCGUGCCGUGAGGUGUCGGCUUAAGUGCCAUAACGAGCGCAACCCUUGCCACUAGUUACUAACAGGUAAAGCUGAGGACUCUGGUGGGACUGCCAGCGUAAGCUGCGAGGAAGGCGGGGAUGACGUCAAAUCAGCACGGCCCUUACAUCCGGGGCGACACACGUGUUACAAUGGCGUGGACAAAGGGAAGCCACCUGGCGACAGGGAGCGAAUCCCCAAACCACGUCUCAGUUCGGAUCGGAGUCUGCAACCCGACUCCGUGAAGCUGGAUUCGCUAGUAAUCGCGCAUCAGCCAUGGCGCGGUGAAUACGUUCCCGGGCCUUGUACACACCGCCCGUCACACCAUGGGAGUGGGUUGCAAAAGAAGUAGGUAGCUUAACCUUCGGGAGGGCGCUUACCACUUUGUGAUUCAUGACUGGGGUG